rnacentral:lncRNA from 1 species
UUCAAUCCAAUUACAUACGAAGCCUCUGACUAGAAGAUUUGAAUUAAAGGCAAAUACUAUUUGAUGUGGAAGAAGUAAAAAAAUAAAUCUACUUUCAAGUAAAGAAGCUUUUCAUGUCUCAUCAUUACAUUCUUUCUACGGCAAGCGCCACUCUAAUUUUGAAAAUGAAGUGACCUUCAAACAAAAAAUACUUUGAGGACAAUUCCUAUUCGACCCUCCAAUGAAU